UGUCCAUGUAUCUCCAUGCAGUCCGUAGAUGGAAGAAUCCCAGUUCCUGUGCACACCUCUAAUAGCGGUGCUACAUCCUCCGCAGGACCUGCUUCUUCAACAGCCACGGGCCGUUCACAGAACCAAACCGUGGUUGUUCAGAACCCUAUGUCUUUAGAUGAAAGUGGCAAGUUGGUGAGCAAUGUUGUUGUUGGUGUGACAACGACGACUUAGGAAUUAUCUGUAAGGAUUAAGAUUCCUAUGUCUGUGAAAUGCACCUAACUGAAGGCAGUAAGGUUUUUGCUUGCUUCCAUUGGAUCGAUGAAUAUAAAUGUGGUGCUAUAUAGAUAUGGUAAUAUUUAGUCCUAUAGUAUUAAAGCAUUUCUAGAUUGAAGAAGUGUACCAAAGGUCUGACCAUUUGUGGUAACAUUGCCAAAGUGAUUGAACAUUUAGGCUUUAGUAAUGUUGAUUUUCUGGAGUCAGUAAAUGUUGCCAAAUUAGAUUCUGUGGUGUGAAUACGCUCGAUGAUCCAAGUACAGAAUGUUGAUAUGUACCAUUUGUCCUGAUGUCAAUAAAAUUUAAUCAACUUGGUGGGUGUGAUCUUGA